GGGGCUGUUCGGUAUUGACGGCAAUUGUGCGAAUAGGUAAGCAUGUCGAGUAUUGUGCAAUUUUGACUCGUUAAACAUAAAGCAUACAACUUUUUUAUAUGGCGAAGAAUCUUUCGCUCUAGCUGCCUAAUAUUAGAUAUUAGCUUUGCUAGUGUUCAACAAAACGUUUGCUUAUUACGUUUCGUUCGAGCAUCACUAUAAUAAGAUAGUUUGUUGAUGUUUCUAAAACAAAUGAGAUAAUAGAAACUAAGCUAUAAAUUGGUAAGUAUAAACACCUUUUUAUAGUCGAAAAUUAAGUUUGUACUACACAUGUAGAAAGCUUAUUGGUGCCUUGUCCGGACCUGAGUUCGAUUCUCAGCAGCUCCACAA
rnacentral:tmRNA from 1 species